CAAAUUAAAGAUGCUUGGGGUGCCAUGCAAUACUAGCAUUGUUAGGUGUUCAAACAUGAUUCACAAGAUAAGCUCAAGGAUAUCAAAUAGGAAUCCAUAGUCACCUGCUGUUGUCUUUG